rnacentral:piRNA from 1 species
UGAAUAGACAAUUCUUUGCCUGCCUCAC